UCGAGAAUAUUGGUCAAUGGAGGAAACUCUGAACCAGCGACGCCGCGUGCUCGAAGAAUCCUUUCGGGGUGUAAAGAGCUUUUCUGGGGGAGCAAGCUUCGGCUGAGUGUACCCCAGGAAUAAGCGGGUGCUAAUUCUGUGCCAGCAGCCGCGGUAAUACAGAACCCGCAAGCGUUAUCCGGAUUUAUUGGGCGUAAAGGGUCCGUAGACGGCCAGGAAAGUCCUUGGUUAAAUACCCAGAGCUCAACUUUGGGGGUGCUAAGGAUACUACUUGGCUAGAGGGCGUUAGAGGCUGAUGGAACGGUCGGUGUAGGGUGAAAUCCGUUGAUAUCGACCGGAACACCAAAAGCGAAGGCAUUCAGCUGGGGCGGCCCUGACGUUGAAGGACGAAAGCGUGGGGAUCAAAAA
rnacentral:rRNA from 1 species